UGGAGUAUGUGGUUUAAUUCGAUGCAACGCGAAGAACCUUACCUGGCCUUGACAUCCCGGGAAUUUCCUGGAAACAGGAGAGUGCUUUCAUUAGAGAGAACCUGGAGACAGGUGCUGCAUGGCUGUCGUCAGCUCGUGUCGUGAGAUGUUGGGUUAAGUCCCGCAACGAGCGCAACCCUUGCCUUUAGUUGCCAGCAGUUCGGCUGGGCACUCUAAAGGGACUGCCGGUGUCAAACCGGAGGAAGGUGGGGAUGACGUCAAGUCCUCAUGGCCUUUAUGGCCAGGGCUACACACGUACUACAAUGGCCGGUACAAAGGGCAGCGACAUUGCGAGAUGGAGCGAAUCCCGAAAAGCCGGUCUCAGUCCGGAUUGGAGUCUGCAACUCGACUCCAUGAAGUUGGAAUCGCUAGUAAUCGUGGAUCAGCAUGCCACGGUGAAUACGUUCCCGGGCCUU
rnacentral:rRNA from 1 species